GAGAGCAGAGGCACGUGGCAUCCCAGGGCGACCUCAGACGGCCAGCCGGUUAGCUAGUUCUGCUGUUGCUUCACGAGUUCUGAGCAUUCUCUGCUAGCCUAUGGAAGCUGCAGCCCUCGGAGGACAGAAGUGUUGUGCGCCCAACAGAACCCUCUGAGACGCAAGCUGCUCCCUUGGCUAGCUCAUAUGUGGAAAUAGCCCUGUAAUUCGAGGUUGAAGGGGCCCGGCCAGGACUCGGGGAAGGGUGGCCUGAGAGCAGCGAUGACCUCUGGGGUCACUGUCCCAGGAGGGACUUCACCUGGAACAAGAGCUGGAGGCAGCCGCUUGCCCCGGAGGCUUGUCCCCUGUAAGUGCUUUCGGGAAGAGUGGCAUGUGUCGCUGAGCCCUGUCCCGGGCGGCACCUGGGCGUUCCAGUGAGUCCUGCUCUCCCGCACCUGUGGCCCCGCGGCGGGCGCCUUUCGGUGUGUGCUGGGUGCAGGGCAGCGCCUCCCGGGAGCGCCGGGUCCCCCGCCUGGAGCCCGCGCCUGUUCUCCCUCCCUCCUCCUCCUUCCAGGAGGCGCUUCGCCAGUGAGGUGCGGGCUCAGGGUCUCGAGUCUCUCCUGGAGCACGGGCUGCGGUGCGCUGGCAGCUUAGGGGGCGGCCAGUCCUUGCCCACAACGAUGUGGAGCCCUGUGAAAGUCGGAUUCGAAUAAAGGGCCACGUGUGCACCCAGAAA
rnacentral:sRNA from 1 species